ACGUUACGGAUUCUGGGCGUAAGCGGCGCUAGGCGGUUGUUAAGUCAGAUGUGAAAUCCCCGGGCUCAACCUGGGAACUGCAUUGAUACUGGCAGCUAGAGUCUGGUAGAGGGGGGUAGAAUUCCAGUGUAGCGGUGAAAUGCGUAGAGAUCUGGAGGAAUACCGAUGGCGAAGGCAGCCCCCUGGACAACACUGACGCUAGGUGCGAAAGCGUGGGGAGCAAACAGGAUUAGAUACCCUGGUAGUCCACGCCGUAAACGAUGUCAUACUGCUGUGGGGCCCUUGAGGCUUGGCUUCCCACACUUAACCCUGAUAAUCACCCCCCUGGGAUCGGCCCCAAGUUAAAACCAAAUGAUUGCGGGCCCACACAACCGGGAGCAUGUGUUUAAUUCGAUGCACCGCGAAACAACCUUACCUGGCUCUUGACGCUUCGAAAACUUUCCAAGAUAUUGGUUGGGUGCCUUCGGAACCUAGAUACAGGUGCUGCAUGGCUGUCGUCAGCUCGUGUCGUGAAGAUGUUGGGUUAAGUCCCGCAACGAGCGCAACCCUUUCUUUUUGCCACCUUAGCGGAACUUAGGACUGCCAUGAUAAAUGGGGAAGGGGGAAACCCAUCCCUGCCUUAAGGCCCCGGCUCCCACCUGCCUGGCCAGGCAAAGUUCCCGGAGAAAUUCCAACCCAAACCCUCCAUCCGUUGAAUCUCCCCUCCACCCCGAAAUCCAAAUCCUCAAACCCAAUCAAGCCGGAACUUCGG
rnacentral:rRNA from 1 species